rnacentral:lncRNA from 1 species
CCUGCGUUUCUUCCGACAGUUUUACACCACCACCACCACCACUAUCUGUGUGGGUUGGGGAGAGAAUUUUUUUUUUUCCUCCUCUUUCCCUAAAGCGAAGCGUGAUGGCAGCGGGACACGCGCGCACACAUUCCCGAGCCGCACACGCACACGCGCUCCGACCCUCCUUUCCCACCCCUUUUCCUUACAUCCCGGCGGCGAGGGUUUCUCUGGGAGGAAUUCACUCUCCGCCACGAAUCGGGAGACGCUGGGCUCCCGAGGAGCGCACCUCGGGCACUUUCCCCAUUUCCCACGCAGUCUACAGGUAUGUUCCUGUUUCUUCCCACAGUCACAGGUGGAGGGGAGCACACCUCACUGGCACGCAGAGCACAAACUGACAGCACCCCGUCUGCUGAGGAUGCCAGUAAGGUGCCGCCUGGACAUCCACACAGCUCUGGGGUCGUCGUCGUUAUUUACAAAAACAAAAUAAAUGGAAGGAAGAUGGGCAAAAUCUGCUGUUGCUGGGGAGGCUGUUUCAAAAAGAGCUGGCACGUGUUCCCUACCGAAUCCAGUCCAAGGAUUGUUUGUGUCUUUAGAAAGCAAGUGCCAUCGCUGCUUGAUGCAAUGAGCUGAGCUCUGGGAACCAGCACUCGUUAGCACCAGUUUCACUGAAAAAGACAGAAAGAAAGAAGAAGGACAACUAGGAUGAGAGAGAUUUUCCUCCAAAAAAAAAAAAAAAAAAAAAAAAAAGUACUUUUAAAAGAAGCCCCAUUAUGUAAAAGCACAGCAUUGUCUCAGUGUCUCUAUCCAGAGCUUCAUGCACAGCUCAUUUGGCAUGGGAAGGGGAAGAAAGAACCCCUCCUCCAAACAUAGUCCUUGGAACAUAAACAUCCCAUACAUCCCAUAACACAGGAGCCAUAGAGCUCUCCUCUGCUUUCAAAUGCAAGUUUGUAACUUUCAGCCAAUUUCUACUCUUUGCUUUCUCAGAUGAUUUUAAGAUUUAAACCUUGGGAGUAUCUAAAAUAACAAAGGCCUCGAAGCUCUCAACGUGGCAAUGAAAUCUUCAUCUUGAACUCAUGGCAGAGAUGUUCCAGGCCGACUCUUGUGAAUCAUGAAAAUCUUAAUCUGAACAUCAGAAAGGAGAGGCACCUCCUCUGUUACUCUUCUUUAUUCCUUUAUGCUUUUCCCACUUCAUUUUAUUUAAAUAGGGUUACAUUCAUAGUAAUAUAGUCAUGGUGGUGGCUGUUGUUUUCAUUGUUGCUAUUAUUAUUAUUAUUGUUGUUGUUAUUAUUAUUUUAACUCAGGUGGCAGAACUCAAAGAGGAACAUUCAUUGGUUUCUGGAUUCAGCAGCAGCCUCUACAGUUUCAUUAUUCCUGUUGACAACAGAGAAGUGCAGAUGCCUGGCCUGGGAGCGCUCGUGUAUUGCACCCAAAUUACACAUUCUUGUUCAUAAAGAGUAGAGCAAAGUAUAAAUGUGAAACGUCGUUGCUCAUGUCUCAGGCAACUACUCACAUCUUAAUUGAAAACGAUCCAAUAACAGCAUCCUCUCAGACAAAGCAAUUCCGCCUAUCUCUGCACUCACUGAAGGCUGUCGUGCCGCAUGGGCAGCAGAUGGCCUUGGCCAUCACCACCCCAGAGCACACAGAAGGAUACCCAGUGCCGCUUUGGGUUUCCUUUCCCCUCAGGCCCCUUGAGAUGGUCCCAGUGGUGAUGGCAGAGACAUGCUCCUGAUGUCAGGGUCACACUUGCCACUUUCCCUAUCCUGCUUUCACUGCAUCCCAUACACCUCUGCUUUUGUUCUGCUUGGGAGCUGCAGGUCAGUGACACAGUGUUGGUUGGUCAUUCCUCAUCCCUCAGCUGCCCCUUCAAAAUGCAGUUCAGGCUGCCCAGAGAGCUGUGCCCAUCUCUGAAGGCAUUCAAGGCCAGGUUGAAUGGGGCCCUUGGCAGCCUGUGCUGGUGGAUGGCAGCCAACCCAUGGCAGAGGUUUGGAAUGGGGUGAUUGCUGAGGUCCCAUUCAACCCAACCCAUUCUAUGAGUCUGUGACUGAGCCACCUCACAUCUGGGACCAAAGCUUCAGAGGCAUGAUACUCAAUGGCCACAGAGAUGCAAAGUGUUUGCAGAGCAGCAAAUAAAGUCUUUCCUGAGCCAACUGUUCCACCUGGACCCCACUACAAAUUAUUGUUUUCAAUUACCACCUGUGUACUCCUUCCCAUGCAACUUAUUGAUGUAAAAUUACAACAACACUGGUAUAAAUAAGUUAUGCUGCAGUUGUAAAAUGGAAGAAAUUUUGUUGUAGCAAUUAUGUUCAGCAAGAUGACAAAAUAAAUUUCCAGUGCUGUGCUUGCAGUAACCUGGGGAAUUUAAACCUCAUAAUUUCCAUUCAUUUCAGAUAAUUUGGAGUAAUUUCUAUAUGUAAUAACUUUGUAAUGAAAAACACAGCGGUACUGAAGUGAUUUCAACUCUUUUUUUUUUUUUUUCCUCCUAUGGUAUACAUGGCACGAAAUAAAUAAUAAAAAUAAUAUUUCCUUUUUGUAUGUGUUCGGUAAUUCUUUCAGCAAAAUCAUAAACUAAUACCAGG